rnacentral:rRNA from 1 species
AGCAUUGUAGCAAUACAGAUGAUGGCAACCGGCGCACGGGUGAGUAACGCGUAUGCACUUACCUAUCGAGGGGGAUAGCCCGGCGAAAGUCGGAUUAAUACCCCAUAAACCCGCAUGGGUAAAGAUUCAUCGCUGUAGAUAGGCAUGCGUUCCAUUAGGCAGUUGGCGGGGUAACGGCCCACCAAACCGACGAUGGAUAGGGGUUCUGAGAAGAAGGUCCCCCACAUUGGUACUGAGACACGGACCAAACUCCUACGGGAGGCAGCAGUGAGGAAUAUUGGUCAAUGGCCGAGAGGCUGAACCAGCCAAGUCGCGUGAAGGAAGAAGGAUUAUGGUUUGUAAACUUCUUUUAUAGGGGAAUAAGUGGAGGACGUGUCCUUUUUUGUAUGUACCCUAUGAAUAAGCAUCGGCUAACUCCGUGCCAGCAGCCGCGGUAAUACGGAGGAUGCGAGCGUUAUCCGGAUUUAUUGGGUUUAAAGGGUGCGUAGGUGGUAUUUAAGUCAGCGGUGAAAGUUUGUGGCUCAACCAUAAAAUUGCCGUUGAAACUGGGUUACUUGAGUGUGUUUGAGGUAGGCGGAAUGCGUGGUGUAGCGGUGAAAUGCAUAGAUAUCACGCAGAACUCCGAUUGCGAAGGCAGCUUACUAAACCAUAACUGACACUGAAGCACGAAAGCGUGAGGAUCAAACAGGAUUAGAUACCCUGGUAG